rnacentral:lncRNA from 1 species
UCUUAGUCGAAGGGCAGGACCAGGGGGCAUCCCUUUAGUGUCGGAGGCAAACAAAAAACAUCAAGGACAAAGUAAGAGAGAGCAGAGAGGAAUGCUUUCGCAUUUCCGACUUUGAUUUUAUUUGCAAAAGGAAAUGUUAUCCUGUAUUUUGAUCUGAUAUGCUCUGACCCCACUUUGGGGUAUUUUGUUGCUUACUGGGCUAGUCUAGCUCAUUAUUCUAUUUUCUCCAUUUUUUCAGAUCCAGAGGCUUGAUCUCACGGGAUUGAGGAGUGCGUUAGAUUUUCCGACGAUUCCUUCAGUUAUUGGCAUUUUAGUUAGAUUAGUUUGGACAUUUAAAUUAUGUUGACAUAUGCUAUUUUGCAAUUUUGUAAGACUGCUUUUGAAUAAAUUUAAAUAAUUAUGUCAGUUUUGAACAUUUGUAUUUGCUUUGAUAUGAUCCGAUGCCUUGCACGCCUGUGCGGCCCGCCGUGCGGGCGUG